rnacentral:lncRNA from 1 species
UGAAAAUCCAUGUGAAAACUUAGAUUAGCUGGAUAGUGAGGAUGAUUGGAAAUAAAAUUCAUAGGCUGGGGUCGGUGUUUUGCUGCAAGUUACAAUUAGGGGAUUUCAAGUUGAGUCUGCAAUCAGUGAUGGCUCUCACAGGGUAUGAAGUCAUAAUCAAAAUCAGGACUUAAUGACAGCACAGUGAAGAUUUAACAUCUCCCGGCCAUUGGACAUACUUUAUCUUUGUCGUGUGUUGCUUGAUGGAGUAUAAAUUUGCAGUACUGUAAUGCAUUAUGACUAUUCCUUGACUUGUUUCGCAUAAUGAGUGAAUAUAAUGUGGAUGAUAGAGGCUUGAAUUAGCUGGGGAAGACUUAGUAUCUUUAAGUUGGAAGUCGUAGUGGAUUAUUCAGCUUCAAUGGUAGUUUCAAGAAAUUUUGUUGGGUGUUUUGGAGUGAUGUCGCAGCCGCUUCAGUUAAAAGGGGCACUGCUUCAGCUUUGUCCUUUUUUUUUUCCUUAAACGCUAAAUCUGCUGAUUUUGUGACUUCCGAUAUUUGUUCUUG